UAUAGAAAGGAAACUGCCAGAUAUAAGUGUCCAUUUUUAAUAUUCGAUGGAAGAAUAUAUAUACCAAGAAAGAAUAAAAAAUCUAUAAUUAGAGAAAAUCUAUAAUCAGAGUACAUUUAUGACUACACAACUAUGAAACCAAAUAAUAAUAAAUAGAGAAAAUCUAUACACGCCGCAACCAAGCCAAUGCCUCAAAAACAUACAACCAUGAUUAUUAACU
rnacentral:lncRNA from 1 species